rnacentral:antisense_RNA from 1 species
UCCUAUGGUCGGGCCUUGGCGGGGGAGCGCUCGCGCUCGCCGGUUUCCUAGACGCCGGUCUGUCAACCCUGCCUUGUGCCCGGCCACCCCG